UACGAAGGGGGCUAGCGUUGCUCGGAAUCACUGGGCGUAAAGCGCACGUAGGCGGAUCGUUAAGUCAGGGGUGAAAUCCUGGAGCUCAACUCCAGAACUGCCUUUGAUACUGGCGACCUUGAGUUCGGGAGAGGUGAGUGGAACUGCGAGUGUAGAGGUGAAAUUCGUAGAUAUUCGCAAGAACACCAGUGGCGAAGGCGGCUCACUGGCCCGGAACUGACGCUGAGGUGCGAAAGCGGUGGGGAGCAAACAGG
rnacentral:rRNA from 1 species